AUUCCUACUUGCCUGAAGUCUUCUAAAGUGUAGGGCAAGUCUGUGUUUGUUACAUGACUGCUGCAGUGCUCAGCAAGAAGCUUUCAUGGACAAAAGGCUAUGGUAGAACACCUGAAGCUCUAAUUAAGGAGUUCAAGCUCAGAUAAAUGGGGAAAACCACUUGGCAGAGAUCGGGACCAUGGACGGCCCUCCUGAACCCCAGCUCAUAACAGGGUGCAAUGUAAGGCUAUGGCUGUGUUGUGGAAAAAGUCAUUCUGUUCCAUAGACUUCAAAGCUGAGCACAUGUUCUGCAGUGCGGAUACAGAUGCCCAAUGGAAAACCAUCUCAGAGGGAUGGAAGGCUACCCUCAGAUAGAAGCCUGAUCCCAGCAGUGUGGAUAUCCCCUGUCCUGCUUCUGACCUGCUUGUGCCAGUUGCUGCUCAGGGCUGAGCUGUGGGCAAGUGCAGUGCUGGUCACUUGGAAGUACCACUGUUACUGGCAACUUUGCUGUAAGGUCACUCUUUCAAAGUACUUUUUGUUUUUUAAUUCCAAACAUAGUCUCA